GGUAGAGCCAUCCAAAAUGAGAACUACAGUUCCCAUGGGAACUUUGAAUAAAGGGUCACCUUCCAAUAAGAGUAAAGGGCCCAAGGGCAGAGCGGACCCUUGAAUCCCCAAUGUCCAAGAAAAGGCACAAUAUGAGGGGAAAAGCAAUCUCUUCACAGGCUUCCCUUGGAAAGCCCCUGGUCCACUCCCAUCCUGAAGAAAUGGUAAAGAUGUCAUCUUAUCCAGUUCAGAAGAAAUAUUAUAAUGACACAGAAACUCUACAUCCCAUCAA